UUGCCUCUCUGGACAAAAUAGCAUGAAGGCUGACAAAGUGCUUUCUCAAUGUGUCUUGAGCCCAGGACAAUUCCCAGAGUAACAUCACAUCCUUUGCGUGAGCUUGCGUGUAUGUUGGCUUGCAGUUAGCACAGAGAUAUAUCAAUAUUCCUGAUGACAAUAAAUACAGCUAUUCGGAUGAGUCGAGGGCUUAUCUUAAUUGGGUAACAGAUGAGCAGGCGUAUGUUGCUGUUGAAUCCAUCAGCAUUAACUGGGCAGAGGAUCGCAAGGGUAAUAAAAACAGGAGAAAAAUGACGACAAACUGCUCCACUUCUAAUGACAUCAGGAGGUUUGAAUCUGACAUUGAUGGGAUACUUUGAGAAGCCACCAUCAAUUCUCUCAAUUCAUCCUUCCUUUUUGCCUUCCCUCUGGGCUCAGAACACAGGACUGAAGAAAAGAUGUAACAACAGAGACUGCUUCUGCCUCCCCCAUUCCUCCCACUGCUCCCCGGGGCUGAGUGGGGUACAAGGACGAUGCAGCGCCUCAGGCUCUCUGCAUGGACCAGUCUCUUCUCCUUUAUGCCUGCUCCUCGCAUGCUAUGCUGCCUGCUCUCUCCAGAGGUUUGUUGCCUUCACACACUCCUUUUACACAGCCCCAGGCAGGGCACAGGCAGGAAGGCCCCUGAAAGAUGUCAGUGACAGGAAGGGAGGGAGAUGGGGAAAGAGGUAAGAGGCAGUGGGGGGCCUGAGGAGAAAGGAUCAUUGCCUCUGAUCUGUUAUGAAUUCUCUUGG